AAAAAAAAAAUACUAAUGAUCUUACCAAACUCCUCAUGAAGCUGAAGUCAGCUAGAGGGAGAUAGAGAGGUCAUCUUACCUACUCAACACCAGAAACGCAUACAAUUAUUUUAGGUAAACAUAACCGCAUUAUGUGCCUUGUAAUUUGGGUAAACCACCUACCAAUCAGAGAUCUAUGAGCAAUGAUGCACGGUGUAAGGGUUAAAGCCAAGGGCAGGGAACUAAGGUGAUGUGCUCUCCGUCUCCUGAUGAACUGUAUGACUUUCGGCAAAUCACAUACAACUGCACUUUCAGAAAUGGCCUCUAAUUUUCUGUUCUACUUUCCAAGUAUCCUUAAUUCAUUAUGUCAAUGACUUUAGGCAAGAGGAUAUAAAUAUUGGGCCAGUGUCUGACAAAGGGAAGCACAGAAAGAUAGGGAUAAAAAAAUACUUUGCUGUUUCUUUGCUGUCCAGUUUUAUGAUGAAGAUGUAACAAUAAAUGUUUAGUAAGCUCAGCUGCAUUUGUAGAAGCUCAGCUCCCAGGAAAACCUAGGGAGGUGCAAUUCGCUGUUUACUACUGUUAAUGAGAAUAUUUGAAACCAUUUAUUUUGAAAGAUGCAGACUUUCAGGAGGAACAUGAUGUCUACCAGCUGGGACCAUGAUGCAGCCCAGAAACACCUGAUGCUAGCAGAGAAGCUCAGGAAGGGAGGGUGCUCUGGGGAGGCCUAUCAGAAGAGGGGAAGUAGUGAAAAAGAAAGCACAGCUUUAUCUUAGGUGUUGGUGUGGAGACUGGGGGCUGAAGGUUAUAGAAAGUUUGGAUGUUUCUUCUUGGCUGUUUCUGAAGAUGGAGGCGGGGGCUGCAUUAAGCUCCUCGUUUUUCCAAGAGGAUCCCACAGCAGCUGUACAGACUCUGCUCCUCCAGGAUCCAUUUCAGGUCAGUUGGGCCCUGCCCAGGAGUUAGGCCUGUUCCCUGAGUGACAGCCUGGGAUAUUUUAGGACCGAUAUACAAUGCGCGAGGGAACACACCUAGCUGCACACUCCUAAUGUGGAAAUUGCUCACAAGUCCUUCCCAAAAUGAGAGGCACGUCUGUCAGAGAAGCGUGCGUGUAAGAGUGAUGGCUUUGUACCACAGGGCUGCAUAACCCACGCAGGGCUGUGUCCUCAACGGGACGUGUCGGCAUAGCUGAGGUGUCAUUGAAAAGCUGGAGCGGGAGAUGUGCUGCCAAACCUGAGGGAUGCUAACACUUCUGACAAGAUUAACAACUUGGGGAAAUUGGACUCCCUGCAUUGAUCAGCGGGCUGAUGGGAAAGCUGCCAUGGAAACGUGAGGAAUACGUUGUUUUCAUCUAUCAGUCAUCUCCCUGGGCUUGACUGGGAGACUCUGGGGCUGCAAAGGCAUUUUGUGUGCUUUAAUGUGGGAUGUUCAGCAAAUGCUUUAAAAUGUAAUUGCUUUGUCCUUUGAACUCUUACACAUCCCAUUGUAUGUCUCAUUUCAAUUCUGUUUUGCUGCCAGUGUGAUUUAUAAAGGUGCACUGAAUUGCUUUGUUGUUUUUUAAUUUCUCUCUGAAGCUGUAGACAUUUGGGCUGGAAGUGUAGGACUCCUACAGACCAAAGAGAGGCUGAAGACUGGAAGCAAUCUGUCAGGAGUGAAAAGGGUUUUCUUGUAAAGCUGACAGGUAGAGGGUCCUAUCAGCCUGAUUGCACCUUCAGAAAAAAACAUUAAUUAGCGCCUGUCAUCUGUGACAAUCACAGGUAAUUCCCACACUGACAGAUCUUUGCAUGUGACAAAUGGAUUCCCGUUAUUCCUUUGACAACUGGACCAUGAAAUCUAAUUUUACCAGGACAGUAAAUGGUAUCGCUGUUUAUGCCAACUUUUGAAAUUCAUCAAAAUGAGCAGAAUGUUCCCACAGAUGGAGGAGGAAGAAGCUGCAAUGCAUGAGGAGUACAGGAGUCCUCCUCUCAAGACAAGGGGCAUCACUCUGACAAGUAGCAACUAGUAAUUACAAACAGCAAGUUGGUCUCAUUAGAUGAGGCUUGAGGUUGCAAUAAUAAAAAAUAAAAU